rnacentral:rRNA from 1 species
UAGGGAAUCUUCGGCAAUGGACGAAAGUCUGACCGAGCAACGCCGCGUGAGUGAAGAAGGUUUUCGGAUCGUAAAACUCUGUUGUUAGAGAAGAACAAGGACGUUAGUAACUGAACGUCCCCUGACGGUAUCUAACCAGAAAGCCACGGCUAACUACGUGCCAGCAGCCGCGGUAAUACGUAGGUGGCAAGCGUUGUCCGGAUUUAUUGGGCGUAAAGCGAGCGCAGGCGGUUUCUUAAGUCUGAUGUGAAAGCCCCCGGCUCAACCGGGGAGGGUCAGUGGAAACUGGGAGACUUGAGUGCAGAAGAGGAGAGUGGAAGUCCAUGUGUAGCGGUGAAAUGCGUAGAUAUAUGGAGGAACACCAGUGGCGAAGGCGGCUCUCUGGUCUGUAACUGACGCUGAGGCUCGAAAGCGUGGGGAGCAAACAGG